rnacentral:rRNA from 1 species
GAUGAACGCUGGCGGCGUGCCUAAUACAUGCAAGUCGAGCGAACAGAUGAGGAGCUUGCUCCUCUGACGUUAGCGGCGGACGGGUGAGUAACACGUGGAUAACCUACCUAUAAGACUGGGAUAACUUCGGGAAACCGGAGCUAAUACCGGAUAAUAUAUUGAACCGCAUGGUUCAAUAGUGAAAGACGGUUUUGCUGUCACUUAUAGAUGGAUCCGCGCCGCAUUAGCUAGUUGGUAAGGUAACGGCUUACCAAGGCAACGAUGCGUAGCCGACCUGAGCGGGUGAUCGGCCACACUGGAACUGAGACACGGUCCAGACUCCUACGGGAGGCAGCAGUAGGGAAUCGUCCGCAAUGGGCGAAAGCCUGACGGAGCAACGCCGCGUGAGUGAUGAAGGUCUUCGGAUCGUAAAACUCUGUUAUUAGGGAAGAACAAAUGUGUAAGUAACUAUGCACGUCUUGACGGUACCUAAUCAGAAAGCCACGGCUAACUACGUG